UACGAACGGUCCAAACGUUAUUCGGAAUCACUGGGCGUAAAGGGUGCGUAGGCGGGUCUUUAAGUCAGGGGUGAAAUCCUGGAGCUCAACUCCAGAACUGCCUUUGAUACUGAGGAUCUUGAGUUCGGGAGAGGUGAGUGGAACUGCGAGUGUAGAGGUGAAAUUCGUAGAUAUUCGCAAGAACACCAGUGGCGAAGGCGGCUCACUGGCCCGAUACUGACGCUGAGGCACGAAAGCGUGGGGAGCAAACAGG
rnacentral:rRNA from 1 species